GAGUUUGAUCUUGGCUCAGGAUGAACGCUAGCGGCAGGCUUAACACAUGCAAGUCGAGGGGUAUAGGUUUUCGGACCUAGAGACCGGCGCACGGGUGCGUAACGCGUAUGCAAUCUACCUUUUACAGAGGGAUAGCCCAGAGAAAUUUGGAUUAAUACCUCAUAGUAUUAUUGAAUGGCAUCAUUUAAUAAUUAAAGUUCCAACGGUAAAGAUGAGCAUGCGUCCCAUUAGCUAGAUGGUAAGGUAACGGCUUACCAUGGCGACGAUGGGUAGGGGUCCUGAGAGGGAGAUCCCCCACACUGGUACUGAGACACGGACCAGACUCCUACGGGAGCAGCAGUGAGGAAUAUUGGUCAAUGGGCGCAAGCCUGAACCAGCCAUGCCGCGUGCAGGAUGACGGUCCUAUGGAUUGUAAACUGCUUUUGUACAGGAAGAAACAGUUCUACGUGUAGAACCUUGACGGUACUGUAAGAAUAAGGAUCGGCU
rnacentral:rRNA from 1 species